rnacentral:rRNA from 1 species
UACGUAGGGGGCUAGCGUUGUCCGGAUUUAUUGGGCGUAAAGAGCGUGUAGGCGGCCAGGUAGGUCUGCUGUGAAAACUCGAGGCUCAACCUCGAGACGUCGGCGGAAACCAUCUGGCUAGAGUCCGGAAGAGGAGAGUGGAAUUCCUGGUGUAGCGGUGAAAUGCGCAGAUAUCAGGAAGAACACCAAUGGCGAAGGCAGCUCUCUGGGACGGUACUGACGCUGAGACGCGAAAAGCGUGGGGAGCGAACAGG